CGGGGAUCGCAGGCUCCCCACCCUUCAUCCCGAAACGCCAGACGCGGGCGCGUCCAAGUUCUGC
rnacentral:ncRNA from 1 species